CUCCAUCUGAUCCAGAAGUUCUGUGCGUCCAUGAAUCCACACCCAGUGAGAGUGGAGCUCAGUCAGAAAGCUGUUGGGGGACUGGUUAGGAAGAACACUUCUACAGCCAGAGAGUCAAGAAAUGGAACAGCAAGGCCACAGAACAUGACAUAAUCAGAGCUGUGGGAGACCACCUCAAGCCCCUGGUAGAGCCGAGGGUGGUGUUUACCACGCCUUCAGCAGACUGGAAAAGUGGGAUUGAUACUGUUUUUCAACUAAGAGGGACCAAGAGUCUGUUGAUUGGUCAACAGGUUCAUUUGACUUACAAUAUGUUCAAAUCCAGCUUUAUUAAUACAGCACAUUUUAGACAUGGAUGCAACACAAUGGAAAGAGGAAAAGCAACACACAAAAAAAAUAAAAAUAAAGACAGGAAGAGAACAAAAAGGUGGUUAAAAUAAUUUAUUACAAUCCAUACCAUUCAUA